CAGUAGCCGCGGUAACACGGAGGGUGCGAGCGUUAAUCGGAAUUACUGGGCGUAAAGCGUACGCAGGCGGUUUGUUAAGUCAGAUGUGAAAUCCCCGAGCUUAACUCGGGAACUGCAUUUGAAACUGGCAGGCUAGAGUCUCGUAGAGGGGGGUAGAAUUCCAGGUGUAGCGGUGAAAUGCGUAGAGAUCUGGAGGAAUACCGGUGGCGAAGGCGGCUCCCUGGACGAAGACUGACGCUCAGGUACGAAAGCGUGGGGAGCAAACAGGAUUAGAUACCCGCGUAGUCCCUGUCUCUUAUAU
rnacentral:rRNA from 1 species